rnacentral:lncRNA from 10 species
UAACAGUUGGUGGAGGCUGGUCGCUAGGGGAACCAACAAUGUGAUUGGAGGGUUGGAACUUUCAGCCUCACUCCGUGACUUCCUGGAAGGGGAGAGGUACUGAGGUUGAGUCUAUCCCCAAUGGCCAAUGAUGUCAUCAAUCAUGCCUAAAUAAUGAAGCCUCCAUAAAAACUCAAAAGGAUGGGAUUUGGAGAACUUCUGGAAUGCUGAGCAUGUGGAGGUGCCUGGAGAGGGCAUGGAAGCUCCACAUGCCUGCCCACAUACUUUGCACUGUGCAUCCCUUCCAUCUGGCUGUUCAUCUGCAUUGUGAGAACAAGCUCAUUCUUGUACCUUUCCUCCGUGGAUUUGGUGAUCACAACAAGGGACUUAUCCAUCAUUGGAGUGGCCACAAUCUGAACAAGUUCCACCCACUGCCUGAGAGUCCUGCCCUGAAUUUUAGACUUUGAUCAUAAAAAAAUGGAUAAUAUAAUUUAACAGUGAAUAAAUUAGAUAUCAAUGAAGU